rnacentral:rRNA from 1 species
UCAUUCAAAUAUCUGCCCUAUCAACUUUCGAUGGUAGGAUAGAGGCUACCAUGGUUUCAACGGGUAACGGGAAUAAGGGUUCGAUUCCGGAGAGGGAGCUGAGAAACGGUACCACAUCCAAGGAAGGCAGCAGGCGCGAAAUUACCCAAUCCCGACACGGAGGUAGUGACAAUAAAUAACAAUAUAGGGCUCUUUUGGGUCUUAUAAUUGGAAUGAGUACAAUUUAAAUCCCUUAACGAGGAACAAUUGGAGGGCAAGUCUGGUGCCAGCAGCCGGGUAAUUCCAGCUCCAAUAGCGUAUAUUAAAGUUGUUGCCAGUUAAAAAAGCUCGUAGUUUGAAACUUCGAACGUGGCUGGGCGGUCCGCCUCCAC